GACGAACGCUGGCGGCGUGCUUAACACAUGCAAGUCGAACGGUAAGGCCCUUCGGGGUACACGAGUGGCGAACGGGCGAGUAACACGUGGGUGAUCUGCCCUGCACUUCGGGAUAAGCCUGGGGAACUGGGUCUAAUACCGGAUAGGACCACUGCCGGCAUGGGUGGUGGUGGAAAGCUUUUGCGGUGUGGGAUGGGCCCGCGGCCGAUCAGCUUGUUGGUGGGGUGAUGGACUACCAAGGCGACGACGGGUAGCCGGCCUGAGAGGGUGACCGGCCACACUGGGACUGAGAUACGGCCCAGACUCCUACGGGAGGCAGCAGUGGGGAAUAUUGCACAAUGGGCGCAAGCCUGAUGCAGCGACGCCGCGUGAGGGAUGACGGCCUUCGGGUUGUAAACCUCUUUCAGCACCGACGAAGCGCAAGUGACGGUAGGUGCAGAAGAAGGACCGGCCAACUACGUGCCAGCCGCCGCGGUAA
rnacentral:rRNA from 1 species